rnacentral:lncRNA from 10 species
CUCUGAAAGCUAGAAGAAAAGGUGUACUUGCAAGAAACCUCAGGACUUGAGUAACAGCAACAUGACAGGCAGGCCAGAAAGCAGACCCAGGGAGGAUAGCACAUGUCUUCGGCUACACUGGUGAAGGCAUCGUGCCUGCUCCACAGCACAUUUUUAUUCAAGAGAUGUGUACCAUGUGAUGGCCAAGGGAGCUUCAUCAAUCAUGGCAUCUCAAGGGAGCUGGAGCAGAUGAGGAGGAGAUGGAGGUCCCAGGAAGGGCUGUGAUCUGCCUGGGGUCCCACAAUGGGAAACAGGCAUGAGCUCUCCACACUCCCUGUCCAAUGCUCUUUCCACUACAAAACAAUCCAUUUCACAGAUGAAGAAACAGACUCAGUGAGCACGUGAUCACUUCUCACAACUAAUGGAGCCAAGAUUCUGUCCUUAUGGCUCCAGAGACCUCUUUUUUUUCCCACUGUACCACAACACUCACCAGGACUGGAGUGCCACCUAUGACCUCAUUGCAUAAUGGAUGGCUUGUCCUCAAAUGGGCCCGGUCUUGGACGAGCCUGAGGAUGUCUACAAGUGGAAGAAAAGAAGCCACUGGAGCAGAAGGUGGGGAGGAUAAAAUUUGGAGCAAGAUUCUCAAGGAAGCAACAAGAUCCUAAGAUCUUGUUCUCACUAGAGAAUAAUUUCUACAUUAUGCCCAGGUUCUUCUGAGCUAUGAAGGGGCCCAGAUUUAAGGGCUAUUUUUGACACCCUAAAUGUGCUGAGACAAGUCAUUAAGGUGGUCCUGCCAGGACACAGCCAUCUAAAGCAGCAAUCUGCUUCUUGCCAGAAAAUCUCGUGCCUCUGCAGAGCCUUUUCCAGAAUGAACCACACCAUGCUGAGGAAAGGAGAAAGAGACUACCUACUGCAUUUCUGUCACUCGCUGAAAAGGACACUCUGUCAGAAAAUCUUCUAGCAAACUUCAAAGGGCAAAAUCACCCCUUGUUACUGAUAAAGCCCAGAGAGCUUCAGCAGCUAACAUUCCCUGGACAGGGCACAGCAAGGAUUUGAACCUAGGUCAGUCUGGCCAGAACACCCACAAGCUUUCCUUAACUCAGUGUGCUAUCUCCCCACGACUAGGUCACUACUGCUUUAUAAUCACCUUUGUAGCCACCAGUGGAUUUUGCUCAUCAGUAUUUUUCAGGCAAUUGAUACUUUAGAUAUUCAGCUGCAAGACGUAUGCAGUUUUCAUUGACAUCUUUUGGAGAAACUGACAAACCUGGACUUGACUUAAUGCCUUUGGAACCUUCCAAGAUGUUAUAUAACUCUAGAUAGAAGGCUGGGCCUCCAUGAUGUCAGGAAUGUUGCAUUCUUAUUUCCCCAUAGAUAAACCCAUUUGUCCACAAAGUCAAGGAGUCAGGCAGAGGCCCUUGCCAUGGGGCUUUUUAGGAUAAAGCAACAAGCCUGGACUUUGCUCUACAACAGGGUUUUGCAUAGGGAGUGGUAUGACCAGAUCCCUCAAGAAAGAAAGCUUAGAGACCAGGCCAGAGUCCACUGCAGUAGCCCAGUCAAGAGAGGAUGGUGACUUGGACUUGUAGUAGAGCCAGUUAGAAUGAAAGAAAUUGACACAUUCAGAAAUGGUUUUAGAGAUAGAGUCAAACUGGACCUGAUAAAGAACUAGAGAAGCGGAGUGAGGAUAAAGAGAAGAGCCAUGACUGACUCGGAAGAUUUUGUCUUGAAAAACUUGAGAACUCAAGACAGAGUGAAAUAAAAUCACAUGUGGGAAAAAUCUCCUGCUUUGUUUUGGACUACUUUGAAGUGAAAUGCCUGUUAAGCCUAAGUGGGGUAGGUCAUGGCGUACAUGACUGUGGGCUCAGGAUGGAUACAGGCAUUCAGGAGUUGUGAGCAAAUAGAACUUAAAGCCAUGAGAGAAGAAGGGAUCACCAAGAGAGACAGUGUGGCAUAGAGAAGAAAAGGGGUGGAAGACGAUCCCUGGGCAGAAAAGUCCUUAGAGCAGAGGCAACAGGCAUGACCAAGAAGACUAAGAAAGAACAUUCAGUACAGCAGGAGGAGAGCAAAAAAUGUGUGGUAUUCUAGAAGCAAAGAGAAUAAAGGGCUUCAGGAAGGAGCAGUCAAGUGUGUCAAAUAAGAUAAAGACAGACAAGUCCCCUGGAUUGGGUAGGAAUAAAAUAACAACAGACUGCCAUACAAAUGGUUCUAUCUACACCAUCUAAAAGAAUAUAGUUUAUUCUCCAUACAUUUAAGAAACACCUGCCAUAUGCCAGGUAUCCUUUCAAGCACUGAAAUGCAGAUUCAUAAAACAUGGUCUCUGCUCUCAAGGAGCUCACAGUGGUAAGGAGGAAACAGGCAAUAGCGAGUGUUCUCAUUGCAUUCGUGACCCCAUUGAUCUUGCAACAGCCCCAUGCAUCAGUUAUUGCCAUUAUACCAUUUUACCGAUAAGGAAACUGUGGCAGGGAGGGGUCAAGCACCUUGGGUAUUUGACAGCAAAACCAAGGCUUGGUGGUAUCAUAAAACUUCCAAGUAGUAAUUCACAAAGGUGACUGGGAAAUGGAAGUGACCAGAAAUCUUUGCACUAUGAGGACAAGUUCAUGACCCUGAUACAUUCUUGUCCAGGUAGUAUAGCUCCAGACCAAAUGUCUGCGGCCACCCACCCAAAAACUUGUUGGAUAAAAAUGACUACACCUAUAGUCAAAUGAUUUUUGACAAAGGUGCCAAACAGUUAGAUAGGAAAAAGAAAGUUAUUUUCAAUAAAUGUUGCUGGAGCAACCAGAUAUCCAUAUGGAAAAAAAAUCUUGACCACCUACCUCACACCAAACACUAAUAUUAACUUGAGAUGGAUCAUAAACCUAAGUCUGAAAACUAAUAGUAAAGUUCUUGAGAAGAGAACAUGGGAGAAUGUCUUCAUGAUGUUCAGGUAGGCAAAGAUAUUUUAAGACACAAAAAAGCAAUAAGCAUAAAAUUUGUAAAGAGGUGACUGGGGCUU